rnacentral:rRNA from 1 species
UACGUAGGGUGCAAGCGUUGUCCGGAAUUAUUGGGCGUAAAGAGCUCGUAGGCGGUUUGUUGCGUCGGCUGUGAAAUCCCGAGGCUCAACCUCGGGUCUGCAGUCGAUACGAGCAAACUAGAGUGUUGCAGGGGAGACUGGAAUUCCUGGUGUAGCGGUGAAAUGCGCAGAUAUCAGGAGGAACACCGAUGGCGAAGGCAGAUCUCUGGGCCGUAACUGACGCUGAGGAGCGAAAGCGUGGGGGAGCGAACAGG